AAAUUCUUGGGCACUGGCUGUUGUCAUUAUUAUUAUUGUUGUUGGUGUUCGCUCGCGAGCAAAAAGCCUUCAUAAAAUUAGAAACCUGGUAAGGGUACAGGGUACUUACGUUUUUUCUUCUUUCCCCGUCGUAUCCGCACGGGACACAGGAAUGCCAUAUUGUAAUCCGCUUAGUACACUUGACGAUACAUUUUGAAUGGGAAUAAAUGCACAGGAAAUACUAAUUUGAGCUGAUUUUAGUCCAAUAAAAAUUAAGACAAGGGAAAUGAAGCAGAAAGGAAUGUCGAAUUUAAGCAGUGGCUGCCAAAUUCCCCGUACGUCACUUGUUGCUGCUUUCCAGUGGACUGCACGCUCCAGCGAGGGUAGCCAUUUUCCGGGAAACUAACGAGGUCAGGAGUUUUGGAAUUCAUUGAGUAAAAAUCUACUCAAUUUAUAUUCGCUCUCGAUUGUUUAUUAAUCAUUACAGAAAUGAAAUUGGUAAUGGCUCUAAAACCAUAGUAAAAAUUGAAGCAAAUUUUCUGUAAAGGAAAUCGUUCAAUGAGCGCUAUUUAUCAGUAUUUACCCUUUUUUUGAGGAGAUGCUUUAAAAAUUAUGAUUUGUUUUAUCAUUUAGUCUAUCUGUUUUUUUUUUUAAAUAUUGACUUAAAGCAUUUUUCGUUUAUUUUCCACUGGCAUGGAUGCAGUAGCAAACUUCAUAUACAAAAAAAUCGUCGCCAGGGAUAUACAUAUUUUAGACCAUUUCGUUUGUUUAUGAAGAAAAGAUGUGCGUGUGCCCCCGUGCCAGUUGGAAAUAAACGAAAACAAUAUUAGACAUUCAUGUUUCUAGAUUAUCGUCUUUAUGCAAGCGGAAUCCGUUAGAAAAAGGAGACCGAGAAAGCAUUUCUAUUUAACGUUCAUGUCAGUUUGACCUACACGGUAAAUUUAGAUUAUUCAGAGACUGAAUAAUUUCGGUUCAGGGGUCGCACCAUGUAUGGAGAUGAAAACAACUGAGUUGGAAUCCAUCAAAAUUUUGAGUUGUUUUCAUCUAUUGACUUUCAAAGCCUGGAACUUAGCGAAGACGCAUACGUUUUCGAACAAAAUAGAUGAAAACAACUCAGAGAGUUCCAAAAACCAGUGUUGAUUGUUUGGAUGCGAUGGUCGGAGACCAGUUACGGAAUAAUCACAGUAAUCAAGCAAUCUCUACGGAAGCCAUCAUUCACAACUAUAAAUCAGCUCAAAUUAGACAGAGUGUGCUGGUGGGUGAGCGUGCCAGGUGGGAUAGCACGUAGUUCCUCCCGCUGAGUGCAGUCAAAUGGCCCGGCGGCUCUAAUUUUUUUUUGUGGUGAAAAUAAAACCAAUCGGAUAAAAAUGCACGCAUCCAUCUUCUGAAUACAAUCGUCUUUUUCUUUUUGAAAUCAGAAAUUCCAUUCAAAACCGCUUUGAAAUUUCAUAAAUUUUUGAUUUUUUUUCAUUCAGUCGAUCCAUGAACAAGCCUAAAC